UCCUCCCUAUCCUCCUCCCUUCGGUCCGGGGUGCGCAGCCACCAACUCCUUUCCGCCGCCGCUGGGCUUCCUCCAGACCUCACAGCGCGAGAGCAUUGCCUUUGGCUAAAGGAAGCCGCCUAGCCUAGAGAAAUGUAAGAUGUCAUGCUCCCUUUGGUGAUAGACAACGGAAUAAUAUGAAGAUUGAAGCCCAACCAUCUUGUUUCAAGUUAAGAUGCAAGUGACUUGUUGAGGAGCAGGAGUGAGAAGUGAGGAGAAAUCAGAUCUAAGAGGAGUGAUGGUUUAAAAUGGUCAUCCCAGAUGAUGGGGAAAUAAACUAUCUCAGGGCACCUGGGUGGCUCAGUCGGUUGAGCGACUGCCUUCGGCUCAGGUCAU